UACGGAGGGGGCGAGCGUUAUUCGGAAUUAUUGGGCGUAAAGGGCGCGUAGGCGGCUCUAUAAGUCAAAGGUGAAAUCCCUCGGCUCAACUGAGGAACUGCCUUUGAAACUGUUGGGCUUGAGGCCGGGAGAGGGUAGUGGAAUUCCCAGUGUAGCGGUGAAAUGCGUAGAUAUCGGAAGGAACACCAGUGGCGAAAGCGGCUUCCUGGUCCAGCACCGACGUUCAGGCACGAAAGCGUGGGGAGCAAACAGG
rnacentral:rRNA from 1 species